GCAGCGCUCAGAUGUCUUGCCAAGAAGAACGCAGAUGCCUAUUGAAGCAGAACUGUGAGCCAGGGUCUUCUGUUUCUCCCAAAAUGACACAGCGCUUUUGUAAUCAGCCGUUGGUGUUUCGCUGUCACUCAAGAUUUCAUCACGCAGUCCGAGAUGUCUCCGAGGACUUGGAUGUGGCUAACUGUGAAUAAUAUGUUAUGCAUGUAAAUAGAAAUUAAAAGACUGGCAUGCAUAAAUUACAGCUUUAUUUCACUAAAACCCCACAACAAAGGCUAUUCAAGUCUUUGGGGGUCAUGUGUUUUUUUAGGUCUAUCUCUCCCUCUUUGCCACUUCUAAAGCUGUUGUCUCACUCCCUCGACCUCCCUCACGUUCUCUCCUCCCUCCAUCUUUAUCUCCAAGUUCAUUCAUACUUGGACUGGCCACAUAUCGAGUUUCUGUCCAGACACACCCACAAACUGCCAGCAACGCUCGGCCUGAACUCUAAAGAAAUGUCUAUCAAAAGUCAAGCAAACGGGUGGAGCCGCGCGCAACAACAAUGGCGGCAGGAGUGACCUCUUGACAGACUUACAUCGCCAAGAGUAAUUGCCUGUCAUGUGCCGUACUGUUUCACAUUUCACAUAAAAGUCGUCUCUGUUAUUCAUUUAAAGUUAAGCCGGGGUGGCCAAGGUCGCCACACUUGUCCUGUAAAGAGAGGGAUAAUUGAACACCACACCUUCUCUCCGGACUGCCACGGGAUGGAGUGACAGCAGAGUCAAGAAUGAGUGGAGGUUAAGAAGAUAGGCAUUUGAAUUUGAAUGCGUCUUGUAAGAUGUGUUGGUGGUGUUUGAGUGUUUACAUAGUUGUGCGUGGGCUCAGGGUGACUCUUUAUCCUGCUUGUCAUUUUCCCUAGUGUUAGUUCUCAGUCCCUCCUCUUCCUCCUCCUACCAUCUAACACUGGAGGAAAACAGAGGAGAAAUGCCAUCCUUUUCGUCUUUAAAGCAGUGCCUAUUUUUUUCUUUUUUUGAUAAACCUUGGCCCAAGCAGCAUAAAAUGCUCAUAACAGGCAGCUAUUGUUGGGGUUUGAUGUUUUGCCCAACAGUUAUUGCAUGCAGUGCACAGUAUGUGAAUUCACAGCUGCAAUUUUUUACUCUGUAAUUCAAAAUGUGAUCGACAUGCCUAUUUCAGCUACAAGACUAAGUGAAUAAAAAUGAAAUCAUUAAGGGAUGUGUGUAUUUUAUAUUCUGCAUUGAUAUAUGAUACCUUCAAGCCAUUCAUUAAUAGAUGUUUCAAGCAGAUGUGUUUUAUUAAAGUCUGUGCUCAUGAAAAAUGUCAUCAUUAAGUCCCCCCCCCCAUAACAGAACUUGUUCAAUGCUCAUAACAGCUCCAACUUUGCAGAGAUACUGCUGUUAGGGAAAGAAGUUGUAUUAAAAAGAUUUACACUGUGACGCCACCUGUUGGUUUGAGGCCUGUGGCUGUCUACAUUUUGAGUUUUUUGGAACCAGAAGUGACCAGAAUGCUACAGUAACUUAUUGGCCAGUAUUAAAGUAUUACAGUUCUGUGCAAAGGUCCAGAACCACACUCAUUUCUUUAUAUUUUUGCUUCCAAUAGCCAGACUUUCUUGAUAUUUUUUAAAAGUGGUUUUAAGCAAUAGUAUAUCUUGGUUUCUGAGAUGUUGUACUUCAUUUUUCAGCAUGACAGUGACUCUGAAAGAACUGGAAUACACACUACGUUGAUGGGCAUUUAAAGUUAAACACACAGCUAGCAUUUGCAUGACAGAUAAUUGCAUUAAAAAUGCCCGAAAAUCCACAAACACCAUGAAUGUGGUCGAGAGGUCCAAUUUAAUGACGUGAGUUAGUUGAGGUGACACUAAGCAAACUGCAAGGUGCUAAGCCUGCCUUUGCUGGCAGCCAUUCAAAGUACCACACCCCUAUUAAUGCAUAACUUAGAGCCUUAAUACAGUCUAAAAGGGUGAGACAAAAAUAUUUACCCCUUGUACAUUUUUUAAGGGAUAAAUUGGCAAUAAAAGACCAGAAUUUUUUUUUUUUUUUUUUUUACGAGGCUGUUGUUUUGCUCUAAAGUUGGGUAUUCUGGAGUUUUAACCCUAACCCUAACACCGAUAUUUUGAAGAAAGGCAAAAUGGGAACAGUUUUUUUAAGUGUAUCACUUACAGUGAUUAUUGUCUUUGUUCCCUGACAACCAGGACUCGGGAGAACAAGUGUAAAACACACAAAAUUACAUAUUCGGAUCACCUGGAGUUAGAAUCAGGUUUAGGGUUGGGACUGUCACCGAUGACUUAAACCUCUGAGUGGGAACAGUGGAGUUUAUAGGGUUUGACUUUCUCUUGGAACAAGCCUCAAGUGGCUUGUAGGAGAACUUGUUUUUGGCUUUUCUAUUCCUGUUUCAUUUUUCAGCUCUCGAGGUUGUCACUUGCUGUUAAAUCAAAGUUUGAAUUAAAGGCAUUAAUACAGGAACUGAAAAAGCUGCAGCUCAAAAACAUCCCUGGGUCUUUACUCCUGUGAAUUUAAGGUUCUGUAACAAAUACAAACUAAAUACUAGUGCUGUGUAAUACUGCAAACUUUGGCAUCAGCUAAUAAUAAGUAAAUAAAGGGCCCCUAUUUGUUGAUACCAAUACAGAUAGCAAUAUUUUAAACGUAUAAAGGCAGCUUAUGUAGGGCAGAGCAGCAUGUCAUGACUUCUGAAAUGAAUCACCAUCAAUUUGCAGAUUCUGAACACAUUUUAAUGAACACUAAAUUACUGUGAUUUUUUUCUUUCCACAGUAAUUAGUUAACACAACAAAAUACACCUUUGAGCUUUUCAUGUAUUUUGAAACUGGGCUAUUUUGUAAACCUGGAAUAUAAAUGUGCCUGUCUCUAAAGAACUUUGGCUUAACUUGUGUUGUUAUAAUGUGCUAUA
ensembl:lncRNA